CCUACGGGAGGCUGCAGUGGGGAAUAUUGCACAAUGGGCGCAAGCCUGAUGCAGCCAUGCCGCGUGUGUGAAGAAGGCCUUCGGGUUGUAAAGCACUUUCAGCGGGGAGGAAGGCGUUAAGGUUAAUAACCUUGUCGAUUGACGUUACCCGCAGAAGAAGCACCGGCUAACUCCGUGCCAGCAGCCGCGGUAAUACGGAGGGUGCAAGCGUUAAUCGGAAUUACUGGGCGUAAAGCGCACGCAGGCGGUCUGUCAAGUCGGAUGUGGAGUCCCCGGGCUCAACCUGGGAACUGCAUUCGAAACUGGCAGGCUAGAGUCUUGUAGAGGGGGGUAGAAUUCCAGGUGUAGCGGUGAAAUGCGUAGAGAUCUGGAGGAAUACCGGUGGCGAAGGCGGCCCCCUGGACAAAGACUGACGCUCAGGUGCGAAAGCGUGGGGAGCAAACAGGAUUAGAUACCCGAGUAGUC
rnacentral:rRNA from 1 species